AUGAGAAGACCCUACUGACCAGCCCAAGAAGACAGAUGACAAGAUACUGAGGAUGGCCGUAUAAGAAAAUAAACAACUUGCUAAAACUGCUGAAACUCCCUCUGCUUGUGAGAUUUAAAAAAACUGGCUGAAAUUGGUUGGAACCAACAUGUCCAAUGGAGUCUGAAUAGAAAGAGCUUGCUGACAUCACAGCCCGAAUUUCCACCACAUUUCAUACUAACUCCCCCUGAAUUUGCAUAUGCAAACCACAAGCAAGCAUGAUCAAACAGACAACUGCGCGUGUCCGAGGACUUUCCAGAUCUCCCCUUUCCUUCCACCAAUCACUUACUAAUCUGAGAAUCCAUCCCCUAAUAAAAUCACUGCCUUAAAGCCUGCACAG
rnacentral:lncRNA from 10 species